rnacentral:rRNA from 1 species
AAAGCGAUAAGUAGCGCUAUAGGAUGGGGCUGUAUCGUAUCAGCUAGUUGGUGGGGUAAGAGCCUACCAAGGCUAUGACGCGUAGCUGGUCUGAGAGGAUGAUCAGCCACACUGGAACUGAGACACGAUCCAGACUCCUACGGGAGGCAGCAGUGAGGAAUCUUGCGCAAUGGGGCAACCCUGACGCAGCAACGCCGCGUGGAGGAAGAAGGUCUUCGGAUUGUAAACUCCUUUUCUGAAGGAAGAAGGAUGACGGUACCUCAGGAAUAAGCGCCGGCUAACUCCGUGCCAGCAGCCGCGGUAAUACGGAGGGUGCAAGCGUUACUCGGAAUCACUGGUCGUAAAGCGCAUGCAGGCGGUUUAUUAAGUUGGAAGUGAAAUCCUAUGGCUUAACCAUAGAACUGCUUCCAAAACUGAUGAACUAGAGUCUGGGAGGGGAGAAUGGAAUUAGUAGUGUAGGGGUAAAAUCCGUAGAGAUUACUAGGAAUACCAAAAGCGAAGGCGAUUCUCUGGAACAGUACUGACGCUGAGAUGCGAAAGCGUGGGGAGCAAACAGGAUUAGAUACCCUGGUAGUCCACGCAGUAAACGAUGAAUGUUAGUCGUUGGAGUGCUAGACACUUCAGUGAUGCAGUUAACACAUUAAACAUUCCGCCUGGGGAGUACGGUCGCAAGAUUAAAACUCAAAGGAAUAGACGGGGGACCCGCACAAGUGGUGGAGCAUGUGGUUUAAUUCGAAGAUACGCGAAGAACCUUACCUAGCCUUGACAUAUAUCAGAACCUGCUAGAGAUAGCGGGGUGCCUUCGGGAGCUGAUAUACAGGUGCUGCACGGCUGUCGUCAGCUCGUGUCGUGAGAUGUUGGGUUAAGUCCCGCAACGAGCGCAACCCUCGUCACUAGUUACUAACGGUUAGGCCGAGGACUCUAGUGAGACUGCCUUCGCAAGGAGGAGGAAGGUGAGGACGACGUCAAGUCAUCAUGGCCCUUACGGCUAGGGCAACACACGUGCUACAAUGGGCAGGACAAUGAGAAGCGAUACCGUGAGGUGGAGCAAAUCUAUAAACCUGCUCUCAGUUCGGAUUGUAGUCUGCAACUCGACUACAUGAAGCUGGAAUCACUAGUAAUCGUAAAUCAGCUAUGUUACGGUGAAUACGUUCCCGGGUCUUGUACUCACCGCCCGUCACACCAUGGNAGUUGAUUUCACCCGAAUUNGGGGAAGCU